GCUGGGCGUGGUGGUGAGCGCCUGUAAUCCCAGCUACUUGGGAGGCUAAGGCAGGAGAAUCGCUUGAACCUGGGAGGCCCAGGUUGCAGUGAGCCAAGAUCAUGCCAUUGCACUCCAGCCUAGGCAACAAAGUGAGACUCUGUCUCAA
rnacentral:SRP_RNA from 1 species